rnacentral:rRNA from 1 species
CAGUCGCCGCGGUAAUACGAAGGGGGCUAGCGUUGCUCGGAAUUACUGGGCGUAAAGGGAGCGUAGGCGGAUCGUUUAGUCAGGGGUGAAAUCCCGGGGCUCAACCUCGGAACUGCCUUUGAUACUGGCGAUCUUGAGUAUGGGAGAGGUGUGUGGAACUCCGAGUGUAGAGGUGAAAUUCGUAGAUAUUCGGAAGAACACCAGUGGCGAAGGCGACACACUGGCCCAUUACUGACGCUGAGGCUCGAAAGCGUGGGGAGCAAACAGGAUUAGAUACCCCUGUAGUCCCUGUCUCUUAUAC